CUUCAGAUCGGGUGACGAGAACAUGGACACCACUAAAAUAAUGUUUUCCUCCAUUUUCUCACAGCUUUGCGGAACUAAAGUUUGAUCGAUUUGUUUCUGUGAACGUUGGACAUGGUGACGCUUCUGUAUCGAU